ACAGACCUUCAUCUGAAAAACAUUUUAAACACAAAUCUCCAAACCAAAAACAAAAAUAUCAUAUUCAAACCAAACAGAUUGGAGAAACAAAAUUAUGAACCCUAAAAGCAUAAUCAUAUCCAAAUCGAAUAAGCAAGCAAGCAAUUAACAUGGGGGAAUGAACGAGCAACUGUGCAAUAUCAUUUACAAAAUAAGAAAUAAACAGAAAGUAGUGAAUAAAGACUCCCAAGAAAAUGAAGUUUCCAGCGAGAGUACCGUUGGAGGAUCUCGACCUCAAGGUAUGUCGCCUCUCUCACCAUUUCCUUUGAAUCCUCUUAUUUGACUCCUUUCUUUUUAUGCUCCUCUGAUUCUUUUACUCUUGUUCUCUCUCCGUGAGGUUGUUGUUUUUGUUUGGAUUAGUCUGUUCACAAGGAAGAGUCAAAGAUUGAAUGAUUCAGAGUUUCAGUGAGAAACUCUAAAUAUUUCAGGACUGUGAGCUAUAGUAAAUGGUUUUUGGGGAAAUUUAGCAGAGUAACCGUAGUAAUUUUUCUCCUUCUUCUUAUGAAUGGGACCUAUUAUUUAUAUAUGGAUGGUGAGGAAUGCUUCUACGUGCAAAAAUGAAAGGAAUUCUUGAUGAGUUGUGUAUGUGUGGGGAGGAAUCAAAUAUGUUAGAGUGGUGAAAAACAUCCUAAAAUUUUGUGGGAUUUUGAUAGUGGAGAACAAGGAGGAACGCAAGGCAUGAGG
rnacentral:lncRNA from 1 species